CCUACGGGAGGCAGCAGUGGGGAAUAUUGGGCAAUGGGCGCAAGCCUGACCCAGCAAUGCCGCGUGAAGGAAGACGGCUUUCUGGUUUUAAACUUCUUUUACUGCGGAAGAGCAGAAGACGGUACCCUGAAAACAAGCCACGUCUAACUACGUGCCAGCAGCCGCGGUAAUACGUAGGUGGCCGGCGUUGUCCGGAUUUACUGGGUGUAAAGGGCGUGUAGCCGGGAAGGCAAGUCAGAUGUGAAAUCCGGAGGCUCAACCCCCGAAUUGCAUUUGAAACUGUUUUUCUUGAGUACUGGUGAGGCAGACGGAAUUCAUUGUGUAGCGGUGAAAUGCGUAGAUAUAAGGAGGAACACCAGUGGCGAAGGCGGUCUGCUGGACAGCAACUGACGGUGAGGCGCGAAAGCGUGGGGAGCAAACAGGAUUAGAUACCCGGGUAGUC
rnacentral:rRNA from 1 species